rnacentral:rRNA from 1 species
UUACGGGAGGCAGCAGUCGAGAAUCUUUCACAAUGGGGGCAACCCUGAUGGAGCGACGCCGCGUGGAGGAUAAGGUCUUCGGAUUGUAAACUCCUGUCAUGUGGGAGCAAGGCCCAGCAGUUAACACCUGCUGUGUUUGAUAGUACCACAAGAGGAAGAGACGGCUAACUCUGUGCCAGCAGCCGCGGUAAUACAGAGGUCUCAAGCGUUGUUCGGAAUCACUGGGCGUAAAGGGUGUGUAGGCGGUGUGCUAAGUCAGAUGUGAAAGCCCGGGGCUCAACCUCGGAACUGCAUCCGAUACUGGCAUGCUAGAGAAUUGGAGAGGAGUCUAGAAUUCACGGUGUAGCAGUGAAAUGCGUAGAUAUCGUGAGGAAUACCAAGUGCGAAGGCAGGACUCUGGACAUUUUCUGACGCUGAGACACGAAGGCCAGGGGAGCAAACGGGAUUAGAUACCCGUGUAGUCC